rnacentral:rRNA from 1 species
CAUCGCCUCCUGCCCACUCAGCAUAGGAGGUCCCGCCUGCCCUGUGACCAAAAGUUUAACGGCCGCGGUAUUUUAACCGUGCAAAGGUAGCGCAAUCAAUUGUCUUUUAAAUGAAGACCUGUAUGAAUGGCAUAACGAGGGUUUAACUGUCUCUUUUUUCAGGUCAAUGAAACUGAUCUGUCCGUGCAGAAGCGGACAUAUUAACACAAGACGAGAAGACCCUAUGGAGCUUUAGACGCCCACCAACCACGAAAAGCAGCCUACCUAAACAGAUGCUCUAAACAACGCGGUCCUGGUACAAACGUCUUCGGUUGGGGCGACCGCGGAGGAGAACAAAGCCUCCGAGAGGAAUGGGAACAAACCCUAAAACCAAGAGCCGCAGCUCUAAGUCACAAAAAAUUUGACCGACAAUGAUCCGGCUUACUGCCGAUCAACGGACCAAGUUACCCUAGGGAUAACAGCGCAAUCCCCUCCCAGAGUCCAUAUCGACGAGGGGGUUUACGACCUCGAUGUUGGAUCAGGACAUCCUAAUGGUGCAGCCGCUAUUAAGGGUUCGUUUGUUCAACGAUUAAAGUCCUACGUG